UGCCAGCCGCCGCGGUAAUACGUAGGGUGCUAGCGCUGUUCGGAAUUAUUGGGCGUAAAGCGCGUGUAGGUGGCUUGUUAAGUCGGGUGUGAAAGCCCAGGGCUCAACCCUGGAAGUGCAUCCGAAACUAGCUCGCUAGAGGGCAGCAGAGGGAGGUGGAAUUCCUAGUGUAGAGGUGAAAUUCGUAGAUAUUAGGAGGAAUACCGGUGGCGAAGGCGACCUCCUGGACUGUUCCUGACACUGAGACGCGAAAGCGUGGGUAGCAAACAGGAUUAGAUA
rnacentral:rRNA from 1 species